UCCGGUUUGUCACAAGCGGUGGAGCAUGUGGUUCAAUUCGACGCAACGCGAAGAACCUUACCUGGACUAGACAACAGUGGAUCGUCCUAGAAAUAGGAUUUUCCCUUCGGGGACCGCUGGUUCAGGUGCUGCAUGGCUGUCGUCAGCUCGUGCCGUGAGGUGUUGGGUUAAGUCCCGCAACGAGCGCAACCCUCGUACUUAGUUGCCACCAUUAAGUUGGGCACUCUAGGUAGACUGCCGGCGUUAAGCCGGAGGAAGGUGGGGAUGACGUCACACGCAAUAACA
rnacentral:misc_RNA from 1 species